rnacentral:rRNA from 1 species
AGUGAACGCUGGCGGUAGGCCUAACACAUGCAAGUCGAACGGCAGCACAGUAAGAGCUUGCUCUUACGGGUGGCGAGUGGCGGACGGGUGAGGAAUACAUCGGAAUCUACUUUUUCGUGGGGGAUAACGUAGGGAAACUUACGCUAAUACCGCAUACGACCUACGGGUGAAAGCAGGGGAGCUUCGGACCUUGCGCGAUUGAAUGAGCCGACGUCGGAUUAGCUAGUUGGCGGGGUAAAGGCCCACCAAGGCGACGAUCCGUAGCUGGCCUGAGAGGAUGAUCGGCCACACUGGAACUGAGACACGGUCCAGACUCCUACGGGAGGCAGCAGUGGGGAAUCUUGCACAAUGGGCGCAAGCCUGAUCCAGCCAUACCGCGUGGGUGAAGAAGGCCUUCGGGUUGUAAAGCCCUUUUGUUGGGAAAGAACAGCAGCAGGUUAAUCCCCCGCUGUUCUGACGGUACCCAAACAAUAAGCCCCGGCUAACUUCGUG